CAAAAGGUAGUUUAAAUAAAAUGCUAGUUUUGGGGACUAGUGAUAGGAGUGUAGCUCUUUCUUUUGA
rnacentral:tRNA from 1 species